AAAGAUGGAAGUGUGAAAAAAACAAGAAAUGAACAAGUAAAGAUUAAGCACACUUGAAGGAACAUGAAAAUGGCACCCAUUAAGAAUAAAUUGAUAAGAGAGAAUGGUAGAUGUACCUACACAAAAAAUUAUACCGAUACAAGUUGAAUAAAUAAAGAUGAUGAGAGGAAAACAAUAGUGGCAUAGAAUGAAGCAGUAAAUAAGGAUUUAGAAUUUUAGAUCACUAGGCCUUGUGAUAAAAUACAGUCCUAAACUAACUAGAAUGGAAGAAAAGGAUUAAUGCAACUGAUCAUGAUAGUUUACUAUUGAGGUUUAGCUGAGUUGAAUAACAAAGGCCUGUUAUUGAUAGUAAUUCCUCUUUUAGUUAUUAUCUG
rnacentral:misc_RNA from 1 species